UUUGGAAUGGAGAGAAGAUUGGUAAGAAAGAAGCAUAUAUAAAGGCUGGUUUUAGAAGAACUCUCUUCUGACAAGUUUGAACCAAAAAAGGGUUUACACUUGGAACUCUCUUCUAGGGAAGCUAAGCAUAUCUCCCUCUCCCUUUUUUUUUUCCUUUCAUUUCCAUACUUUCUUUUCUUCUAACAUACAGAUAUAUAAGUGUAGUUUUUCUGUUUAGAUAAGGUGAAUGGUGAUACUGACACAUACAUAUAAAUAUAUAGUUUCAAAGGUGCAUUCUUGUGUUGCUUUUUGAGCAUUGUACGUCAUACACUACCACAAUGUCUGCUUUCAAA